rnacentral:rRNA from 1 species
GUAGGGAAUAUUGGGCAAUGGAUGCAAGUCUGACCCAGCCAUCCCGCGUGCCGGAAGAAGGCCCUCAGGGUUGUAAACGGCUUUUGACGGUGAAGAAUCGACAGGAUGCGUCCUGUUUUGACGGUAGCCGUUGAAUAAGCACCGGCUAACUCCGUGCCAGCAGCCGCGGUAAUACGGAGGGUGCGAGCGUUGUCCGGAUUUAUUGGGUUUAAAGGGUGCGUAGGCUGGAAGGUCAGUCAGCGGUGAAAAGCUGUCGCUUAACGAUAGUCUUGCCGCAGAUACUUCCUUUCUUUGAUGAGGAGGAGGCCACUGGAACGGAUGGUGUAGCGGUGAAAUGCAUAGAUAUCAUCCAGAACACCGAUUGCGAAGGCAGGUGGCUGUACCUUAAUCGACGCUGAUGCACGAAAGCAUGGGGAGCAAACAGGAUUAGAAACCCGAGUAGUCC